GACGAACGCUGGCGGCGUGCCUAAUACAUGCAAGUUGAGCGCUGAAGGUUGGUACUUGUACCAACUGGAUGAGCAGCGAACGGGUGAGUAAAGCGUGGGGAAUCUGCCUUUGAGCGGGGGACAACAUUUGGAAACGAAUGCUAAUACCGCAUAAAAACUUUAAACACAAGUUUUAAGUUUGAAAGAUGCAAUUGCAUCACUCAAAGAUGAUCCCGCGUUGUAUUAGCUAGUUGGUGAGGUAAAGGCUCACCAAGGCGAUGAUACAUAGCCGACCUGAGAGGGUGAUCGGCCACAUUGGGACUGAGACACGGCCCAAACUCCUACGGGAGGCAGCAGUAGGGAAUCUUCGGCAAUGGACGAAAGUCUGACCGAGCAACGCCGCGUGAGUGAAGAAGGUUUUCGGAUCGUAAAACUCUGUUGGUAGAGAAGAACGUUGGUGAGAGUGGAAAGCUCAUCAAGUGACGGUAACUACCCAGAAAGGGACGGCUAACUACGUG
rnacentral:rRNA from 1 species